UCUGGCACUAGAGGUGUUGGAAUCAUGGCUACUGUGACACACGUAUCACACGUGUCAGUAUGCUGCAGAGAGGGGAAAGAUUCUGCUGAGUGUUGUGACGUAUGAACAUCUGAAUGAUUAGUAACCUAACAUU